UAGUGACACAGCUCUUUUAGAAUUUGUCUAGUAGGUUUUCUGGUUUUUGCUGGGAAGCCCUC
rnacentral:snRNA from 1 species